UUAUUAACUCCGCCUGUAGCUCUUCUAGAGUUACUGUCGGUCUCAAGCCCGUGUAAAGGAGGAGGGUUGA
rnacentral:ribozyme from 2 species